rnacentral:lncRNA from 1 species
UAGUGAAUGAAAUAACUUUAUUGUCUUCCUGGCUCAUUUCUUAAACUCUCUCUUAUCAAAUAUUAUUUCGGAAAUACCUAGCUUCUCCUUUUCAUGACUUCUGCAGCUAUAACAUUCCUUCUGUGAUAAUAUCAGAGGAAGGAGCAAGAUUGCCUGUUGCCUGGUUUUAUACUUUUUAGCUAAAAUCACAGGAGACACUUUGAGUUUUACCUAUUUGGAUUCUCUCCUCAAAUACUGGACAUGAUUUGUGUUUAGAGAAGCACCGUCUUUCAAAAAAGGAGAGAUUUGAAAGUUUUGCUACUUUGGUUUUUCUACAUGGAGUCAGAAUAUUCAUCCGUUGCUCUGUGUUUAGUUUUCUUUCGACGGUAGCUUUGAGUGUUUACAUUUUUUUUCUUCCCAUUUCUUGGCAUUUUGUGAACACAGCUUCUAGUUCAAGACUUUCUUCGGUUGCUAGUAAAGUUGAGACUAAAAUACGUUGGUAUUUUCUGAACGGACAGCCAAAUAUUCGUCAACCGUACAGUUCACCCUACGAAGAACAAAGUCACAGCUAUGCUGCAGAGAGUAUUGAUCUUGAAGAUGGCAACCUCAACCAAUGAGGCUCUUUGCUUCAAAGUCUCUGGCUCAUCAAAUGAAUAAUACAUUAAUCAAUGAUCCUGCCUUAUCACGUCCACUUCAUAAGCCUCACGUACUGAUUAUUCCUGUCCUCAUCCACCUUCCCUGCUCACACUGGAUUCCAGUGUAUCUGAAUUCCAAAACCUAGUCCUAGUUCACAUACCCAAGACGUUCCAUAAUAAAAUCAGUAACCCUUGGCUGCACCUACAUGCAUAAUAAAUAUCAUCCCCAGCACAGCCAAUCAGUAGCCCCUUAUAAAUAACAAGGACUGGCUUAGUAGUCAAGGAAAAGAAGAUAUUUCUAUCAUUGCAUCUCUUUCUUGACCUUUUAUAGAUCUCUUCAGCUAUAAAAUAUGACUGAAUGGAUGCAUCCCUAACCAAUCCUUUAGCUGCUAUUUUGUACAGAUCCCUGCAUUGCUGCAGGAGGCCAAAUUCAUCUACCUGUGGUUGUGUCAGUUAACUCCCUCAGGAGACUAUUCAGGGAUUUUAGGAAAAGAAAUAUGGCGGACACAGACAUCAGAGAAACGACCAACAUUUACUUUAAGCUACAAUGGCUCUUAUUUUGCAAGAGGUAGUUCAUGAAAGAUCCGUGUAACCUUUUGGUAUUUCUAGAAAUUAUUCUUUGCUGAUGCAACACUCUCAGUCAGAGGCUAGAGAAGUUUUCUUCCAUACUACCUUCCUCCGUGCACAUCCACCACCACCUCACCAAAAUAAUUUCUAUCAGGCACAUAAAAUAUUUUCUUAGCUUCAGUGAAUUAGAGCUCAUUAUAUUUUAAGAUGAUUUCAAUAAUUUGUAAGGUCCCUUGAGUUAAUUGGCCAUGGCCAGCUAUGUUAUAGAAAUGGGGGUG